rnacentral:rRNA from 1 species
CUCAACUUCGGGAUUGCCAUUGAAACUGUUUCACUUGAGUGUAGUUGAGGACGGCGGAAUGAGUUGUGUAGCGGUGAAAUGCAUAGAUAUAACUCAGAACACCAAUUGCGAAGGCAGCUGUCUAGACUAUAACUGACGCUGAGGCACGAAAGCGUGGGGAGCGAACAGGAUUAGAUACCCUGGUAGUCCACGCAGUAAACGAUGAUCACUCGUUGUUGGCUACUUGGUAGUCAGUGACUAAGGGAAACCGUUAAGUGAUCCACCUGGGGAGUACGUCGGCAACGAUGAAACUCAAAGGAAUUGACGGGGGCCCGCACAAGCGGAGGAACAUGUGGUUUAAUUCGAUGAUACGCGAGGAACCUUACCUGGGCUUAAAUGCAGGCUGCAUUCUGGUGAAAGCCGGAUUUCCUACGGGACCG